GACGAACCGUGCGAACGUUGUUCGGAAUCACUGGGCUUAAAGGGCGCGUAGGCGGGCAGGCAAGUCAGGGGUGAAAGCCCACGGCUCAACCGUGGAAGCGCCCUUUGAUACUGCCGGUCUCGAGGGAGGUAGGGGCGUGCGGAACUUCCGGUGGAGCGGUGAAAUGCGUAGAUAUCGGAAGGAACACCGGUGGCGAAGGCGGGUCUCUGGGGCCGAUACUGACGCUGAGGAGCGAAAGCAUGGGUAGCGAACAGG
rnacentral:rRNA from 1 species